GCCCCAUCUAGUCGAUAAUGAAAACUGUCCAAAAUGCCAAAAAGCAAGGGAAAAGAGCGUGCAGAAAUGUUCUCCGCAGUGGAGCAAACCCUCCUCAUGGAGGUAUAUGAGGAUUACAGCCACAUAAUCCGAAAGAAGGGCAAUACCGCGGCAAUCAAUAAAGCGAGGGAUGUGGCGUGGCAGAAUAUUGCCGACAGGCUGAAUGCUGACAGGGGAUCAAAUUAUUCUCCUUGACCCACCACAAGUGCACAUUGAGGAUGCAGCCGGGACCCAAGUCAACCCAGCCCAAGCCAACAGCCACAUGAUGAUGAUGAUGAUUAUGACGAUGAUGAAACACUCACCGGUCGAGACAGUGAGCUCCAAGAUGAACCUAGGCCUUCCCCAGCUAGAGGACUACAUCUGCUGGACGAAGUGAAGUGAGUAGCCAUUCCCUUUUACCCACCAUUAACUGCAUUAAGUCAUCAUAGGACAUCUGUGCAAUUUAGAAGCGGUAUCUCCUCCAUGCAACGGAGUAUAAGAGGCUACAGAUUAAGAAGAUCAAACUUGAGAUCAGGAAGAUGGAAAAGGAUCCUGACCUGCGUGACCCACCAACAUAACAUUCAAAUGUUUCAACACUACUAUGUCCUGUCUCACUUAGUCAAAGACACUGAACUUUGGUUUUGAUUGAUAUCACCUACAGUAAAUUGUAGAAAAAGAUUCUAAAAAUGGAUUUAAGAAUGUUUGAAUGAGAUUGGAGGGCAUUUACGUCUAAUUGGUUUGGUGUACAUAUUCAAUCUUUUAUUUUCAAUGCGUCAAUUUCCUUUUAU